UACGAAGAGGGCUAGCGUUGUCCGGAAUUAUUGGGCGUAAAGGGCUCGUAGGCGGUUUGUCGCGUCUGCCGUGAAAGUCCGGGGCUCAACUCCGGAUCUGCGGUGGGUACGGGCAGACUAGAGUGCGGUAGGGGAGACUGGAAUUCCUGGUGUAGCGGUGAAAUGCGCAGAUAUCAGGAGGAACACCGGUGGCGAAGGCGGGUCUCUGGGCCGUAACUGACGCUGAGGAGCGAAAGCGUGGGGAGCAAACAGG
rnacentral:rRNA from 1 species